rnacentral:rRNA from 1 species
AUUGAACGCUGGCGGCAGGCCUAACACAUGCAAGUCGAGCGGAGCGGAGGACGGGUGAGUAAUGCCUAGGAAUCUGACUGGUAGUGGGGGAUAACGUCCGGAAAAGGGCGAUAAUACCGCAUACUAUCAGAUGAGUCUAGGUCGGAGUAGCUAGUUGGUGGGGUAAAGGCCUAACAAGGCGACGAUCCGUAACUGGUCUGAGAGGAGGAUCAGUCCCACGGGAACUGAGACACGGUCCAGACUCCAACGGGAGGCAGCAGUGGGGAAUAUUGGACAAUGGGCGAAAGCCUGAUACAGCCAUGCCGCGUGUGUGAAGAAGGUCUUCGGAUUGUAAAGCACUUUAAGUUGGGAGGCGUUACCAACAGAAGAAGCACCGGCUAACUUCGUGCCAGCCGCCGCGGUAAUAC